rnacentral:rRNA from 1 species
AACAGGAUUAGAUACCCUGGUAGUCCACGCUGUAAACGAUGUCGACUUGGAGGUUGCGCCCUUGAGGCGUGGCUUCCGGAGCUAACGCGUUAAGUCGACCGCCUGGGGAGUACGGCCGCAAGGUUAAAACUCAAAUGAAUUGACGGGGGCCCGCACAAGCGGUGGAGCAUGUGGUUUAAUUCGAUGCAACGCGAAGAACCUUACCUACUCUUGACAUCCAGAGAAUUUGCUAGAGAUAGCUUAGUGCCUUCGGGAACUCUGAGACAGGUGCUGCAUGGCUGUCGUCAGCUCGUGUUGUGAAAUGUUGGGUUAAGUCCCGCAACGAGCGCAACCCUUAUCCUUUGUUGCCAGCGAGUAAUGUCGGGAACUCAAAGGAGACUGCCGGUGAUAAACCGGAGGAAGGUGGGGAUGACGUCAAGUCAUCAUGGCCCUUACGAGUAGGGCUACACACGUGCUACAAUGGCAUAUACAAAGAGAAGCGAACUCGCGAGAGCAAGCGGACCUCAUAAAGUAUGUCGUAGUCCGGAUUGGAGUCUGCAACUCGACUCCAUGAAGUCGGAAUCGCUAGUAAUCGUAGAUCAGAAUGCUACGGUGAAUACGUUCCCGGGCCUUGUACACACCGCCCGUCACACCAUGGGAGUGGGUUGCAAAAGAAGUAGGUAGCUUAACCUUCGGGAGGGCGCUUACCACUUUGUGAUUCAUGACUGGGGUGAAGUCGUAACAAGGUAACC